rnacentral:lncRNA from 1 species
GGAUAUACAUCUAACAGAGGGGAGGCCGGGCGAUGGGAUGCCGGCUCCAGAAAGUGGCCGGUAGCAUUGGGGAAAAAAGGGGUGGGGGCUUAGGAAGCUUUGAUUCAGUGCGAGGAUAUUGGCUCUAAGGUGGGACGACGGCACGAGGCUGGGGGGAGGAAGUCGGGGGCUCCGACGGCAUGGUGGGAGAGAAUGGUGAUUGGAGAAAGGGAGUCGGUGGGGGAGCAAGAGGAGCGAUGGAGAUUUUUGUGAGCCCGUCAGG